GGGAAGGUGGCUCAGUGGUAGAGCACUUGCCUAGCAUGCAUGAAGCAUGAAGCCCUGGGUUUCAUCCCU
rnacentral:tRNA from 1 species